ensembl:lncRNA
ACGUCCUUCAAUCUUAUGGCAAAACAGAUGGAGAGUCCAAGUGACAGAAAACAAGACAGAAGCAGAAAUUUCCCAUUGACCGAAGCUCCCUUAGUGAAUCAGUACAAGGAACAACAUUUUAAAUUAUACCUGGAUAAACUUAUCUUAAAGGAAUCAAAAAGAGAGAUCAGUAACUGAAACAUGAAUCUACACUUAUUCUCCAGGUUGAAUAUAUUUCCAUUGUUGAUGUAAUUUCAAGAACCAAUCAAUUGGUCUGUUUUGCUCAUCUUCCAUGUAUUGAGGCCACCUGAUACGGGACUUCUGGCUUGGGAACGCCUCCUGCUGAAAAGCACUGUAUAAAAGUGCAUCUGCGUUGCCAGUCAACUGUAAGCCCAGAGUCAAUUGUGUCUUCUAGUAGCUGUCUCCUUGAUAACUGGCAGUAGUCCUGGUGCAAGCUUGGCCAUCCGUUCCCUGGAGCUUCUGGAACUCCCCCAGCCAUGGCAGACUCCAAGAAAGAAGAUGACACCCUGAGAAUCCUUUGGCCUUUCCUUCUCCAUCUCUGACUCAUUUGGCAGCAGAAUAUCAUUAUGCUUUCUAGUUUUUGUGUUAUCAUACAGGAAAUAAGGAUAUUGUUGUUUUUUUUAUAUUUGUUUCUUUUUCCACUUAUUUUAUCACUAAUUGAUUUUAAUAAUGUUAUUUAGAAAAAGAAAAGCUAAAUAAGUUAAAGAUUUGAGUAAUGAUAGCAUCAUUGGGAACAAAGAGAAAGUGUGACACUGGAAGUGAUCUUGUGAUGACAUGGAGCAUGAUGGCGCAGUGGAAUUAAAUGAAAAUACUAUCACAGUGCAGGAAAGAGUAUGCCUUUUCAAGUACUUCCCUCCUGAGUCUCUAGCAUAUUGUCACUUCUUUUUUUUUUUGUUCUCUGCAUAUAGCAGCUGUGGUGGAGAACUAGAGAGGUAUACAAAUGUAAGAACAGUAAUGUUUCAUAUGCUUUCUCAGCACAUGAUUGUGUGGUUGCUCAGACUAUUAGCAUACAACAGAAAGAGACAACUGAUCUAUCUGUAGCCACAGCUUGAUGAUCUUAGAUCAAGCAGAUCCUAAGGACAGUGUUUAACAAAGAAAUUUGUAGUAUGAAUUUUCAUUUUAAUAAGAAUGAGUAUACAAUAUGCACAUCAAAAUAUUUACUGUAAAUUUCUCCAUUGAUGUGAUAAUAUCAGUUAAUUUCUACAUAAUUAUUUUAAAUAGAAUAUAAAAUCCAGAUGUGAAAUUUUAUGAGUUGUUAGUGAGGAAACAAACAAAGCUUCUGCAUCAAAGGAAUGAUUGCGUUCUGAAUUUUAUUGCAGCAUUAACUUUGUCAGUUGUUGAAAGAAAAAAAAAAAAGAAGGAAGAAAGAAGAAAGAAAAUGAACAAGCAAUCUGGAUAAAUGCUGUUGUUUUAUUUUACAUCUGUACUGACUGUCCAUUUUCUUUGAAGUAUCAGUAUAACUAAACCUUUACUUCAGUAAAAUAAAGUAACCAAUAAUAUCUGGUGACAGCACCGACUUGUUUUCUUUUUUAUGGUUUCCCAAAAUGAUGCUGUAGUUUAUAUUAGAAGUAUAAAGAACAUCUGUUUUAAAUAAUAUCCCCUGGCAUUUGAAUACCUUAAACUGAAACAAUAAAUCGAGG